rnacentral:sRNA from 1 species
GUGAAAAGUCCAAUAACCACAUGGUCCGUCUCUGGAAAUUUAAAAUACCACCAAGUCGUUAGCUCAAUUGGUAAAGACUCUAUGCGAAGCUUAGAGGUCGCCGGUUCGAGCGAAUUUAAAAUACCAGUAUGAACAAAAGGAGUUAAACUUGGAAUCGGUACUAACCUUUUUAAAUAGAAGAUAUGCACUAAGAUACAAGAGGAGAAGGUCUAUAAU